rnacentral:lncRNA from 1 species
GAUAAUCACUUUAAGAUGGAUGAUGAUGAAAAUGAGCACUAGCUAUCUUUAAGAAUGAUCGUAGGGGCAAAGGAUGAAUUGUGCAUUGUUGAAGCAGAGGCAAUGAAUGAUGAAGGUAGUCCGAUUACGGUAACACUGAUGGCUUUGAAAACAUCUGUACAGCCAAGGGCUUCCCUUGGGCUAUGAAAUACCACCACCUGUGGCGUUGUGGGUGAAGUGUGGUUCAGGGCCCGUGUGUAUCAAUGGAUGGCACUUAGUAGCUGGGGAGGAAGAUGCAGAGUCAGAGACAGGAGGAUGUGAAACUCUUCAGAAUAUCUGGAAAGCGAUCUCCCCCUGGAGGUGGCAGCAAGGUUCCACAGAAAAAAGUAAAAUUUGCUGUUGCUGAAGAUGAUGAUGAUGAUGAUAAGGAAACUGAAGACAAAUCUCCAGUGAAGAAAUCUAUACGAGAUACUCUACCCAAUCAUGCACAACAAUCAAACCAGAAUGGAAAAGACUCCAAGUCACCAAUGUCAAGAAAAGGUCAGGAAUCCUUCAAAAAAUAGGAAAAUACUCCUAAAACACCAGAAGAACCUAGUUCUGCAGAAGACAUUAAAGCAAACAUGCAGCCAAGUAUAGCAAAAGGUGGUUCUCUUUUCAGAGUGGAAGCCAAGAAAAUCAAUUAUGUGAAUGGCUUCUGGAUGACUGACUAGGGGGCUAUUCAAGAUCUCUGGCAGGGCAGGAAGUCUCUUU